rnacentral:rRNA from 1 species
AGUUAACUCAUGUUAACUGUUUAAAAGAAGCAAUGGCUUCACUAUCAGAUGGACCUGCGUUGUAUUAGCUAGUAGGUAGGGUAACGGCCUACCUAGGCAACGAUACAUAGCCGACCUGAGAGGGUGAACGGCCACACUGGGACUGAGACACGGCCCAGACUCCUACGGGAGGCAGCAGUAGGGAAUCUUCGGCAAUGGACGCAAGUCUGACCGAGCAACGCCGCGUGAGUGAAGACGGUUUUCGGAUCGUAAAGCUCUGUUGUAGGGGAAGAACGUGUGUAAGAGUGGAAAGCUUACACAGUGACGGUACCCUACCAGAAAGGGACGGCUAACUACGUGCCAGCAGCCGCGGUAAUACGUAGGUCCCGAGCGUUGUCCGGAUUUAUUGGGCGUAAAGGGAGCGCAGGCGGUUUAGUAAGUCUGAAGUUAAAGGCAUUGGCUCAACCAAUGUAUGCUUUGGAAACUGUUAGACUUGAGUGCAGAAGGGGAGAGUGGAAUUCCAUGUGUAGCGGUGAAAUGCGUAGAUAUAUGGAGGAACACCGGUGGCGAAAGCGGCUCUCUGGUCUGUCACUGACGCUGAGGCUCGAAAGCGUGGGUAGCGAACAGGAUUAGAUACCCUGGUAGUCCACGCCGUAAACGCUGAGUGCUAGGUGUUAGGUCCUUUCCAGGACUUAGUGCCGACGCUAACGCAUUAAGCACUCCGCCUGGGGAGUACGACCGCAAGGUUGAAACUCAAAGGAAUUGACGGGGGCCCGCACAAGCGGUGGAGCAUGUGGUUUAAUUCGAAGCAACGCGAAGAACCUUACCAGGUCUUGACAUCCCGAUGCCCGCUACUAGAGAUAGAGUUUU